rnacentral:misc_RNA from 1 species
CCGUUGCGUACGAGACGACCAUCGACACACGCGCACAGACCCAGUACCGCGUGUCGAAGUAGGCAGGCUAGAAAAGGAGGCGGUUGUCUUUGAAGAGGCGGCUUACUUUCCAUCUUCGAUCGUUCUUCCGUUCGACCGACUACGACGAGCAGCAGCAUUGUCCGCCUCCCCCCUCCCUCCCUUCCCCGAGUCAUGAUGUCGCCACGCUCCGCUGCCCCGGCCUUGGCCUCGCCACGGCUCCGGUGUCGGUCAUUGGGCCGCACUACGCUCUCUUCACGGGCCACAGCUGCGAUGCUUUGCACUCUCAUCGCUGCAGUGCUCAUCUUGGUGGUCGCACCACCAGGAGCCCAGGCGGCUCCCGGGCCUUCCAGCUUCCGCUGCCUGCGGCCCUUCUCUGCUACGGGAACGUUCACGAACGUGGCCAAGGCGCACCCGACUCAGAACUGCGACUACUUUUAUUUCAGUGUCGAAGACGCAAAAGCGGAGCUGAAGUGCGCGUCACCAUCGGCUGCCACUACAGCGGUGUCGGACGAGAUGUCCUGCAAUGUGACGGUACGUAUGUCGAUGCGGCGGGCCUCAGACGUGGUGCCACGCCUGCAACGGCAGGUGGGCACCGACAAGGACUACUUUACGCAUGAAGCGAGCACGGACUCCACUACAGCGUCGCCCACCCGUGUUGGUAACACGCGCGCGUCCGCAGUGCCGUUCCUGACAGAGGACGAGGACGUCUGGCGCUACGCCGUCUCGCUGAAGGCCAAGGGCGACUCCUCCAUCCACUACAAGGGGUUCAACGGAGGCAACGGGUACAGCCUCUGCUGCGCUGCGCUGGAAGAGGCAGACUGCGCGUGGAUGACCCCGCAGAAGGGUGACAAAGACCUCGACUGUGACGAGGACGUCGACGUUCGGUUUGCGCCACAGCGUGGCCGUGUGCUGCGGGGUUGCCCUUUACCAUUUCCUGCACCGCGCAGCGCCGGCGACGGCGUCUUUGGCGCGUCGGCGGGUGCUCGUGUGCUGCUGACGGACCUGGACGAGGGGGAGGGCAGCGGCGUCUUCCAUGCUGUCAUCACGAAACCGCUGCACCGCUUUGUGGAGGGCCCGUGGGAGGUGAUGGUGCAGAUGUGGCGGCGACGCCAGCACAUGCCGCGAGUCGGCAGAGAAGAUUCCCUCUCCGUCCCUGCGGACCACAGCAUCGAGGCCGAGGUGCUCGGCCGUAUCAUGGUUCCCUUCACGCUAAACUUGACCGAGCUGCAGAAGCAGGGCCGUAUCACGCAAAUGCCGAGCAUGGCGCUAACCGUGGAAGACGUCGCAGAUGUGGCGCAGGCGGCAGGUGAGAAAGCCGCCGACGAAGCUGGUGACCUGUGACGCCGCUGCGGCGACCCAUAGUGGAGGGGCGCAGGUGUGUCCGUGUGUUUCUGCACGUCCAUCUUGCGUGCACGCGUAAAGCGCUUUCGACGAUGCUGCGGGGAAUAUCUCCUGGGCUCUCUCCCUCUCGAUCGCUUCUGUUUUCUUCUUCGGUCCUAUUCAUUGUUGCGGACCAGUCAUGCGCCCAGGCGCCGCCGCCCCCUCUCCCCAAUGGCCUCCGGCCCUCGCUGUUGCACACGGGGCUGGGCUCAUAUCCUGGUCUCUCCUUGUCAUCCGCACCUUCUGGAGUUCGUGUGUUUCUCAUCCUCUCUCUCCAGCGCUACGUCGGCGUACGUGUGCUUCGUGUCGCCGGCUUCGUCCGUACCGCUCGUGCGCCUGUAAUUCUUUUCCUCUCCCUAUGGCCUUGGAGGGGUUUGGGACUCGUCGCGGACCCGAUCCCAAGCAUGUGCACCGUCUCGAGUAGCCGUUGUCUUUCCUAUAUCCAUAUCCAUCGAUGUGUAUGUGAAGGAGCACAUGCCAGGACCCGCGCGGGGGCAAAGGGUGAUACACGCAGAUGCCCCUUCUUGUUGCGCUGCUCUCUGCUCUCUGCUUUCUCUCUCUCUGCCUGUCUGUCUGUGUCUGGUGCCCUACCCAUGCCCUCCCUUCCUGUUGCUGCGCGAAGCGGUGGUGAGCGCAAGGACGGACGCCGCUGCUAUAGAUACGUGAUGUUGGUGGAGGGGG